rnacentral:rRNA from 1 species
UACAGAGGGUGCGAGCGUUAAUCGGAAUUACUGGGCGCAAAGCGUGCGCAGGCGGUUUUGUAAGACAGAGGUGAAAUCCCCGGGCUCAACCUGGGAACUGCCUUUGUGGCUGCAAGGCUUGAGUGCGGCAGAGGGGGAUGGAAUUCCGCGUGUAGCAGUGAAAUGCGUAGAUAUGCGGAGGAACACCGAUGGCGAAGGCAAUCCCCUGGGCCUGCACUGACGCUCAUGCACGAAAGCGUGGGGAGCAAACAGG